CCUACGGGAGGCAGCAGUGAGGGAUAUUGCACAAUGGGGGAAACCCUGAUCCAGCGACGCCGCGUGGGUGAAGAAGCGCCUCGGCGCGUAAAGCCCUGUCAGCAGGGAAGAAAAUGACGGUACCUGAAGAAGAAGCUCCGGCUAACUACGUGCCAGCAGCCGCGGUAAUACGUAGGGGGCAAGCGUUAUCCGGAUUUACUGGGUGUAAAGGGGGCGCAGACGGCGAUGCAAGCCAGGAGUGAAAGCCCGGGGCCCAACCCCGGGACUGCUCUUGGAACUGCGUGGCUAGAGUGCAGGAGGGGCAGGCGGAAUUCGUGGUGUAGCGGUGAAAUGCGUAGAUAUCAGGAGGAACACCGGUGGCGAAGGCGGCCUGCUGGACUGCAACUGACGUUGAGGCCCGAAAGCGUGGGGAGCAAACAGGAUUAGAUACCCUGGUAGUC
rnacentral:rRNA from 1 species